rnacentral:lncRNA from 1 species
UGAUGUUAUGAUCUGUGUUAUGUGAAUUUCUUGCCAUGUGAUAUGGUAUGAAUAUGAUUGAGACUAUGGAAUUGGUUUUGGUGUAGACUAUGUGAUGGAAAAAUGAUAUAAUUGAUGUAUAUAUAUAGUCUUGUGUGAAUGGCCAUCUUGGUAUGAUUUGGUAGUUGAAAUGGUAAGGUUUUGAUAUGAUUUUGAGUUUGGUUAUAUGUUGUUU